rnacentral:misc_RNA from 1 species
CAUCAUUGCAAUUAAGAAUUAGAUAUGCUUCAACAUCACUACAAGUGCUGAAAAGAGGUCAGCAUCUCUCUGUAGGGACUAGGGACCAAUAAAGCCUGUCUAUUGGAGAUCACCAUCACAAAUAUCCAGUUCCAACUACUGAGAGAAGAGACUACUUCACCUGCUAUUGCAUUGGCAAGAAAGGUAACUAUGCCUGUGAAGGCAAAGACAA